AGUCAUGUGAAGCCGUGGGAGUGGGGAAGGCUGACUUCUGUCUUAAAGGCUUACUCUGGAUCAUAAUGUUGAGUGAAGGCUGUCAGGAGACAAAGAGAAUGCAACAGCAAGACAGCCGUCUACAAACCAGGAAGAGUGCCCUCGCCAGAAAAUGGAUUUGCUGGCACUUUGAUAUUGGAAUUCCCAGCCCCCAGGACUGUGAGAAAUAAAUUUCUGUCAUUUAAGCCAUCCAAUCUGUGGUAUUUUGUUAUAGCAGCCAAAACUAAGAUUGUUAUCAUGCAAGGUCCAGACACCUAACAUGACCUCAUUAGUGUUGGCUGCAGAGAUGGGUGUGUUCCUCAUGAUUCGUGGUGACAUUAAUGGAAAGUUAAAGCCAUACUUGCACUAGUCAAAUAGAAUCCUACUGUCUGCUGGAAAGCAGCUGUGGAAAUAAAAAAUCAUUCACUUGUAGGACACAAGUGUGGACCACAGUAUGAGUGACUUUUACUGGUGUAGUAGGUUGAAUGGUGGCUGCCAAAAAGAUGUGUCCAAGUCCUAACUCCCAGUACCUAUGAAUAUCACCUUAUUGAAAAUAAGGCCUUUGUGGCCAGGCAUGGUGACUCACGCCUGUAAUCCCAGCACUUUGGGAGGCCGAGGCAGGCAGAUCAUCUGAGCUUGGUGAAGUAACUCAGGAGUAUGUAACUUGCUGAAGUAACUUGGGAGUAUGAGACCAGCCUGACCAACAUGAAGAAACCCUGUCUCUACUAAAAAUACAAAAUUAGCCAGGCAUGGUGGUUCAUGUCUUGUAAUCUCAGCUACUCAGGAAGGCUGAGGCGGGAGAAUCGCUUGAACCUGGGAGACGGAGGUUGCACUCCAGCCUGGGCAACAAGAGUGAAACUCCAUCUCAAAAAAAAAGAAAAAAGAAAAAGAAAGAAAAGGCCUUCGCAGAUGUAAUUGAAAAUCUCAGGAUGAGAUCAUCCUUUAUUUAGGGUGGUCUGUGUCCUUAUGAAGACAAUGACUGUGUCCUUAUAAGAGAAAAGAGAGGGAGAUUUGAGAAACAAGAGAGACAUAGGGGAAAAGCCACGUGAAGAUGAAGGCAGAGAUUGGAGUUAUGCAUCUACAAGCCAAGGAAUGUCAGGAGAUAGGAGAAAUGCGCCGGGUGCGGUGACUCACACCUGUAAUCUCAGCACUUUGGGAAGCCGAGGCAGACUGAUCACCUGAGGUCAGGAGUUAAAGACCAGCCUGGCCAACAUGGUGAAACCCUGUCUCUACUAAAAUACAAAAAUUAGCCCAGUGUGGUGGCGGUCACCUGUAAUCCCAGCUACUCACGGGCUGAGGCUGGACAAUCCCUUGAACCUAGGAGGCAGAGGUUGCAGUGAGCCGAGAUCACACCACUGGACUCCAGCCUGGGUGACAGAGCCAAACUCCAUCUCAAAAAAAAAAAAAAAAAAAGGAAGAAGAUAGGAGAAAUGCACGUAACAGAUUAUUCCUUACAGCCCCCAGAAGGAGCCAACCCUAGCAAUACCUUGAUUUUGGAUUUCCGGCCUCCAAAAUGGCGAGAAAAUAAAUUUCUCUUGUUUUAAGCCACCCAGUUUGUGAUUAUUUGUUUUGGCAGACAUAGGAAGCUACUACUGCUGAUAUGGGGCAGGCUCUCAAAGAAAUACCCUGAUGAACUGGCGUAAAUGACUGAAAUCAGGUCUUUAUUAGAUCACCUAGUGGCCCAGUGGUUAAAAGCAUAAACUUGGGAGAUAGACAAACCUGCAUUUCAAUCUCUGCUGGAAUACUCAGCCACUGUGUGACCUCAGCCCUAAGCCCUGAAAUGCGUAUCAUCUGGCACAAAGACAUCGUUUACAUUUGUUGAAUAGCUGCGUGCUUAGACUUGAUCCGAUCUUAUUCACCACUUAUACUGUAAGUCUCUGAGUGUACCCAACAGGAGUCUAUUCCUCUUUUUUCAGAAUUCAACAGUCUUUAAUUAUGUCGUGUCCAGUGUUGCUCAUACUUGUUUCAUGCAUGUGAAUCUCAUCUACCUGGCUAUAGUGUAAGCUUAUAAGGACUGUCUGAGUCUGAUAAAUGUUUUACCUUUCCUAAAGUGCUGGUAGCAUGACAUUUACAGAUGCUACUUGACUUACCUUGGGGUUACCACCUGCUAAACCCAUCCAAGUUGAAAUACCUCGAGUUGAAAAUGCAUUUAAUACACCUAACCUACUGAACACCACAGCUUAGCCUGGCC
rnacentral:lncRNA from 10 species